rnacentral:rRNA from 1 species
GACGUAGGGGGCGAGCGUUGUCCGGAUUUAUUGGGCGUAAAGAGCUCGUAGGCGGCUCGUUGCGUCGGCUGUGAAAACCCGCAGCUCAACUGUGGGCUUGCAGCCGAUACGGGCGGGCUGGAGUUCGGUAGGGGAGACUGGAAUUCCUGGUGUAGCGGUGAAAUGCGUAGAUAUCUGAAGGAACAUCAGUGGCGAAAGCGACUUCCUGGACCAAUACUGACGCUCAUGUGCGAAAGCGUGGGGAGCAAACAGG